rnacentral:rRNA from 1 species
GAACACGUGAGAAAUCUGCCUUCAACUCUGGGAUAACUCCGGGAAACCGGGGCUAAUACCGGAUAUGAGCCUUGAUCGCAUGAUCGGGGCUGGAAAGUUUUUCGGUUGAAGAUGAUCUCGCGGCCUAUCAGCUUGUUGGUGAGGUAAUGGCUCACCAAGGCGACGACGGGUAGCCGGCCUGAGAGGGCGACCGGCCACACUGGGACUGAGACACGGCCCAGACUCCUACGGGAGGCAGCAGUGGGGAAUAUUGGGCAAUGGAGGAAACUCUGACCCAGCGACGCCGCGUGAGGGAUGAAGGCCUUCGGGUUGUAAACCUCUUUCAGUAGGGAAGAAGCGAAAGUGACGGUACCUACAGAAGAAGCACCGGCUAACUAUGUGCCAGCAGCCGCGGUAAUACAUAGGGUGCAAGCGUUGUCCGGAAUUAUUGGGCGUAAAGAGCUCGUAGGUGGUUAGAUACGUCGGAUGUGAAAAUCAGGGGCUCAACCCCUGACCUGCAUUCGAUACGGUCUAGCUAGAGUGUGGUAGGGGAGACUGGAAUUCCUGGUGUAGCGGUGGAAUGCGCAGAUAUCAGGAGGAACACCGAUGGCGAAGGCAGGUCUCUGGGCCAUUACUGACACUGAGGAGCGAAAGCGUGGGGAGCGAACAGGAUUAGAUACCCUGGUAGUCCACGCCGUAAACGGUGGGCGCUAGUUGUGCGAACCUUCCACGGUUUGUGCGACGCAGCUAACGCAUUAAGCGCCCCGCCUGGGGAGUACGAUCGCAAGAUUAAAACUCAAAGGAAUUGACGGGGCCCCGCACAAGCAGCGGAGCAUGCGGCUUAAUUCGACGCAACGCGAAGAACUUACCAAGGCUU